GGGUCACUCCGGACGGCUGGCGGGAAGAGAGAGAGAUGGGAGAGACAGAAGAGGGAGUGAGAACUAUUCCAAAGUGGGCGGGACUUGGCCCCCGGGUACCAAGAUGGGGGUUUGUUUCAUUUCUCUUCAUUCCGAGCCGAUGAUUGUAGUUUUCUUUCUCAUUAUUACCAUUUUCUUCGAUAUUUUGACUUCUGUUGUAUCAUUAAUUUGAUCACC
ensembl:ncRNA F35D2.15 ncRNA